rnacentral:lncRNA from 1 species
CAUGCCAGAAAAGGACUCUAACUUCAGAAAUCAAAACCAGCUGGGGCUAUUAGGUGAUGUAACAGCAGUAACUGAGUCUCCUUAAUGACCAAGUAGGGACUGGGAGAGGUGGCAAGAUAUAUUGCAUCCAAGCUGAGAACUUAAGAAAACUACCCAUAAUGACAUCACAAUUAUAUGUGUUGCUUCAAUUAUUAGUUUACUCAAUCACCAGUUCCCAGAAGAUAUUAUUGAAAGGGUUACAUGAUUGAAAUGCUAAACAAAGGUGGUACUUGGUACCAUAUUUACUUGAGAAAACAAAAUCUGACUGGUAGGAAAUUUUUAUGCCUGCCAUUCCUCUUUGAACUUGACAUUAGGUCUGUUUGUUACACAAGAAUAUAUCUGAGUCCUGUCUGAGAUAAAGGACACUACUCUGAAGAUGCGAAGAAUAUGUGGACCUUAAGCUGGCCUUACAAUACUCUUUUCUUGUUUUAACGUAUUGCAAGUCAAAUUUAGCCUGAAAUUUUAUCAGAUUGUUUGAUUUCAGGAAUAUGCAUCCAAUCAUUCUGAUGGCUCUUUCUUUAAAAUUCUCCAUG